rnacentral:rRNA from 1 species
CUUUUGGGUCUUAUAAUUGGAAUGAGUACAAUCUAAAUCUCUUAACGAGGAACAAUUGGAGGGCAAGUCUGGUGCCAGCAGCUGCAGUAAUUCCAGCUCCAAUAGCAUAUAUUAAAGUUAUUGCAGUUAAAAAGCUCGUAGUUGAACUUUGGGCCUGGAUGGGCAGUCUGCUGCAAGGCGUUGUACUGUCUGGCCAGGCCUUUCCUCUUGGUGAAUCGGCAUGCCCUUCACUGGGUGCGUUGGGAAACCAGGACGUUUACCUUGAGAAAAUUAGAGUAUUCAAAGCAGGUGUUUCGCCCGAAUACAUUAGCAUGGAAUAAUGAAAUAGGAUGUGCGGUUCUAUUUUGUUGGUUUCUAGAGUCGCCGUAAUGAUUAAUAGGGACAGUUGGGGGCAUUAGUAUUCAGUCACUAGAGGUGAAAUUCUUGGAUUGACUGAAGACUAACUACUGUGAAAGCAUUUGCCAAGAAUGUUUUCAUUAAUCAAGAGCAAAGGUUAGGGGAUUGAAAACGAUCAGAUACCAUUGUAGUCUUAACAGUAAACUAUGCCGACUAGGGAUUGGGCGACCUCUUUUUGAUGUGUCGCUUGGCACCUUACAAGAAAUCAAAGUCUUUGGGUUCUGGGGGGAGUAUGGUCGCAAGGCUGAAAUUUAAAGGAAUUGAUGGAAGGGCACCACCAGGAGUGGAGCCUGCAGCUUAAUUUGACUCAACACAGGAAAACUCACCAGGUCCAGACAUGACUAGGAUUGACAGAUUGAUAGCUCUUUCAUGAUUUUAUGGGUGGUGGUGCAUGGCCGUUCUUAGUUGGUGGAGUGAUUUGUCUGGUUAAUUCUGAUAACGAAUGAGACCUUAACCUGCUAAAUAGCCAGGCCAGCUUUUGCUGGUCUCCGGCUUCUUAGAGGGACUGUCAGCAUCUAGCCGACAGAAGUUUGAGGCAAUAACAGGUCUGUGAUGCCCUUAGAUGUUCUGGGCUGCAUGCGCGCUACACUGACAGAGCCAGCAAGUUCUUUUCCUUGGCCAGAAGGUCUGGGUAAUCUUGUGAAACUCUGUCAUGCUGGGGAUAGAGCAUUGCAAUUAUUGCUCUUCAAUGAGGAAUUCCUAGUAAGCGUGAGUCAUCAGCUCGCGUUGAUUAUGUCCCUGCCCUUUGUACACACCACCCGUCGCUACUACCAAUUGAAUGACUUAGUGAGGUCUCCGGAUUGGCUUUGGGGAGCCAGCAAUGGCACCCUGUUGCUGGGAAGCUGAUCAAACUUGGUCAUUUAGAGGAAGUAAAAGUCGUAACAAGGUUUCCAUAGGUGAACCUGCGGAAG